rnacentral:rRNA from 1 species
GAUGAACGCUGGCGGCGUGCCUAAUACAUGCAAGUCGAGCGAACAGACGAGGAGCUUGCUCCUCUGACGUUAGCGGCGGACGGGUGAGUAACACGUGGAUAACCUACCUAUAAGACUGGGAUAACUUCGGGAAACCGGAGCUAAUACCGGAUAAUAUAUUGAACCGCAUGGUUCAAUAGUGAAAGACGGUUUUGCUGUCACUUAUAGAUGGAUCCGCGCCGCAUUAGCUAGUUGGUAAGGUAACGGCUUACCAAGGCAACGAUGCGUAGCCGACCUGAGAGGGAGAGGCGCCACCACGAGACCGCAACCCGGGCCAGGACCCCACGGGGGGGAAGAGUGGGAAAUUUUCCGACAGGGGCGAAAGGCAAGCAGGGCAACCCCGCGUGAGAGAAAAAGGUUUGGGGAUUGGAAAACUCUUUUUAUGGAGAAAAAAAAAUGUGUAAGUAACUAUGCGCCUUUUGGCGGUACCAUAACAAAAAACCCGGGCAAAACACG